rnacentral:rRNA from 1 species
UACGAAGGGGGCUAGCGUUGCUCGGAAUCACUGGGCGUAAAGGGUGCGUAGGCGGGUCUUUAAGUCAGGGGGGAAAUCCUGGAGCUCAACUCCAGAACUGCCUUUGAUACUGAAGAUCUUGAGUUCGGGAGAGGUGAGUGGAACUGCGAGUGUAGAGGUGAAAUUCGUAGAUAUUCGCAAGAACACCAGUGGCGAAGGCGGCUCUCUGGGACGGUACUGACGCUGAGACGCGAAAGCGUGGGGAGCGAACAGG